rnacentral:ncRNA from 2 species
AAUAUAAAUGUAAUUGCACCUCGUAUAAUCAUGGGGAUAUGGCCCAUAAGUUUCUACCUGGCUACCGUAAAUGGCCGGACUAUGAGGGAAAGCGGCAUUAUA